rnacentral:hammerhead_ribozyme from 1 species
ACCCAGCUGAUGAGUCCUAAGAAAGGACGAAACAAAUGUCAUGGAU